rnacentral:tRNA from 1 species
UAUAUUUUAGUGUUACUAGCACUAAAAAUUUUGAAUUUUUAAGAUUUAAUUAAUUAUUAAUAAAUAUAA